AGGGAAGCUUCUUAGGAAAGCAUGUUAUUGGUGUGAACUCUCAAUCAAGUGCAAACAAAAAAGGCGUGGAUGCUCAUCUAACUUUGGUAAAGAAAAAUCCAAAAGCAUAUGGCAGGACAAAUACCCUCAACUAGCUAGUGGAAAGAAAUUGAAGUUCUGUAGAAAAAAAAAGAAAAUAAAAGGCUUCAAGAAAUAAUAUAGGUGCUGCAUAUGCAAGACGAAAGGACAUUAACCUACUUUGUUAUCUAGCCCAGAUUGAGGAUAUUGAUGACUCUGAUGUUGAAUUAAUAUUUUCUCUCGAAGACAAACCACUACUGGCACUGUACUUGCUAAAUGAAUUGAACAAGGAUAUGAUUUUUCAAAGAAUCUGACUCUGAAGAAGAAGAGUGCGAUGGAGAUGAUCAAUUUAUGCUAUUAGAUAUUUACACGCUUGACGACUGUAAAAGCUGAAUUACCAAAGAAGAUAGACUGGCAUAUGUGUCUCAACCAUCUCCAAAUGCAAAGAUAUACUUCUUCCGGACCAAGUAUGACAAGACCCUAUUUUGACACAAAUGCUUCCUCCUUCAUCCUCAAGUCGGAUAUCCUUCCAUCUUCCCAUUGGAAUUCAUGCUCAGUACCGUUUAAAGCAGCCAAUGCUCUCCUUGGAAAAGACUUUAUACUUGGGUUCGAUGUCCUCCAUAGCCUCAAAAGAUUAUCAUACAAUGCUCUCCUUUGGACAACCAUCUCCCAUCUCUAGCCAAUGGAAAUUUUGAAUCCUAUCAAAGAAGAAACUGCCAAAAUAUCAUGUGCCGAUUCUCACUCGGAAUUUCUCACCAAAUGCUUUUUACCUCUUUGGAAAAAUGAAGACUUCUUUGUAUCCGUACCAUAAGAAAAAUGAAGACAUCAACCCAACAAAGGCAAGCCACCCAAGCAUGGAUCCAGAUCACUGCAAUCUCGCACUUGAAGAAGUUGAUAAACUGCUGAAUGAAGAUCUCAUUGAGAAGACCACUUCACCAUGGGCAUGUGAAGCUUUUAUGUCAACAAAAUAACAGAGCAAGUGUAUUAUCUAUGUCAAUAUCAUCUAAAUGUGGUAUAUAUUGGCCAAAGAGUCAACACCAACUAUAUGUAGUGUGUAAUGUAAGAUAUUAUUUGUGUGGUGUGUAAUGUAAGAUAUCAAGUAUCUAAGGAAUAUUCCACAAAAUAUUCUUUAGGAAUAUUCCACAAAAUAUUCUUUAGGAAUUACUAUUGUAAUCCAAACCAAGUGAGUUGAGUGAGUUAAGUCCCAAAGAGCCUCUCGAGUAUUUCAUAAUAUCUUUGAAUGUUCUUAAUAAAAUAAAAGUCCAUUUGUUAUAAAAUAAUUUUGUCUUUCCUUGAGUACUUUAUCAAUAUACAUUUGAUCCUAAACACCUCUUUUGUGGUUGUACCUACUUGCUAUUGAAAUUUAACAAGGAGAUGACUCUUUCGAAGAAUCUGACACUGAAGAAGAAGAGACCAAUGGAGAUGAUCAAUUCAUGAUAUUCGAUCUUUACACUUGACACUUGAUGUCUGUAAAGGCGAAUUGCCAAAAGAAGAUAGACAAGUAUAUGUUUUUUAACCAUCUCCAAAUGCAAAGAUAUACAUCUUUCCGAUCAAGUAUGAUACUAGUCAUAGCCUAUUUUGACACUGGUACUACCUCCUCCAUCCUCAAGGGACAUCCUUCCAUCCACCCUUUGGAAUUCAUGUCUGGUACCAUUUAAAGUAGCUAAUGGUCAGAAUUUUACCAUCUCCAUCAUCAGUAACCCUAUAUACAUUCAACUCUUUCAUAGAUAUAUGGUUAAAACCAAAGUAUAUGGGUCGGAUCUCCCUGGAAGACUUUAUACUUGGGUUUGAUGUUCUCGAUAGCCUAAAAAGAGUACCAUGGCACCUAAAAGAACUUAAAAACAAGAACCACCUCUCACCUUGGACAACCAUCUCCCAUCUCUACCCCCAUGGAGAUUUUGAAUCCUAUCAAAUAAGAAAUUUCCAAGACAUCAUGUGUUGCUUCUCACUCAAAAUUCCUUACCGAAUGUCCUUCACCUCUUUGGAAAAAUCCAGACUUCUUCUUAUCUUUGCGCUUCAAGAAGAAUGAAGACAUCAAACCAAAAAAAGGCAAGCCACCCAUGCAUGAAUCCAUAUCACAACAAUCUUGCACUUGAAGAAGUUGAUCAACUACUGAAAGAAGAUCUCAUUGAGCUUUUUAUGUCAACAAAAGAGCAAAGCAUAUUCGAGGAAAACUGAGACUGGUCAUCAACUAUCAACCACUAAAUAACUUUCUUGCAGAUGACAAGUUUCUUUUACCAAAAUGAGAAAUAUUUUUCCAAAGAUUACCCCAGACAAAAGUAUUCUCCAAAUUUUGUUUAAAAGCGAAUUGUUGGCAGUUAGGAAUCAAACUAGAAGACAAGCAUAAGACAUGUUUCGAUGACCGCUAUUACCACUGGAAGGUCAUGAUAUUUGGUCUAAAGAUAGCCCUUUCACUAUUCCAGAAGGCCAUGAUCAAGAUGUUUGAGCCAAUCCUCUCAAAUGCCUUAGUAUAUAUUGACGACAUUCUGAUUUUUCUCUAGACAUUGACUCUCAUACUCGCCUACUAAAAAUAUUUCAUGAUAUCAUACAACAAUAUGGCAUCAUGCUCUUGGAAAAGAAAAUGGUCAUUUCCUUGGCAUGCAUAUUUCAGAGUGUCACUCAGCCCCACAUUGCAAUACAACUUAGUGAGUUUCCAGAUAAAAAGUUGUCUUUCAAACAAAUUUAGUAAUUCCUUGGAAUUGUUAACUACAUGACGAACUUCAUACAUCAUCUCGCAAAACCUUGGUAAAUCCUUUCAGCUAAACUUAAAAAGGACGCUCCUCCAUGGAAUCAGAAGUAUACUGAAGCAGUGAAAAAACUCAAGAAGAUUUCAAAGACACUUCCAUCACUAAAAAUACUAUCCAAUGGUAAAAGAAUCCUUCAAAUGGAUGCCAGUGAUUGCUAUUGGGGUGUUGUCCUACUAGAAGAAGAUGAAAAAGGAAACAACACAUUUGUGGUUAUAAGAGUGGUGUUUUCAAAGAAGAAUAAAAACACUAUCACUCCAAGUACAAAGAAAUUCUUGAAAUAAAAAGAAGAAAUGAAAAGUUUGAAUUUCAUCGGGCGAACCAUCAUUUUCUUAUUGAAAUGGACAUGUCAUCUUUUCCAAAGAUAAUGCAUUUCAAACUGAAGUCUUGAAUUACUCAGAUGAGUACUGAGUUAAGUCCUAAAGAAUCUUUCGAGUUAUUUGUAAUAUACUUGAGUGUUCUUAAUAAAAUAAAAAUUCCUUGUUAUAAGAUAAUUGUUUCCUUUCUUAAACACUUUAUCAACCCCUUUGAUCCUAAGCACCUCCUUUGUGGUUGUACCUACUAAGUGUUUGUAAAUUAGGUUAGAAGUUUAGGAUUUAAAGAUGUUCAAAUAAUUCUUUAGGAUGAGAGCUUUUGAUAUGUUCAUUCUUUUUGAACAACUUGAUAUGUUCAUUCAGUUAAAGUUUUAUUUGUGAGAAUGGUAUUAACGCCGGCUGGUCCCGGGAGGAUUGUUUGGACUGAAGCCUAGACACCUCCUAGUUAACAAAAUAUAAAUUAUUUGUGGGCCGCGUGUUCUCCACAGAUGAGAGAAAUGAAGCAGAGGAUGAGCAUUGGCAUGAACUGGCUCGUCCUCAAGUUCACGGUCAUGACAUUAAUUGUGUGGCUAUGGUUCAAGGUAAAGGCAACCACCGUUUAUCUUUAUUGAAGACACUGAACCAUUACUUGCGCCUGAGGAGAAGGUAGCCUCCCAGACAAGCAGAUGUGCAUGUCCUUGGCUCAAUUUGCAUCCAUGGCGGAAAUUUGGCGAUGGGAGGUUUGGACAUGGAAAGCUGUUGGUCGUUUGCAGUCUCACAGCUUGGACAGUGACACCCUUGGAGUUCUCUUAUGAUUGACAUUCUGCGCUUGUGUGUCUCCGGAGAUAGUCAAGUCACUUCUCAGUUUUCUCUAUCCAAAGAACAGACAAUGGCGAGGUUAGUCACAAACUCAUGGCAAAAGGCUGAAGCACAAAAGAGCAUCAUUUGGGCUUGUUCAUGGAGACCGUUUGGCCACCAGUUUGAACCUUCAUCAAGAGAUAAGACUCUGAAGAUCUGGCCCUUCGAGAAAGAUGCUCGGGUCAAACAGGUUCUUUCUUUGCCUCAGUUUGGGAGCAGUGUCACAGCCGUAGCUUGGACAAGACUAGACCACAAGGAGAAAAGCAGGGUGCAUAGCAUUUGGGAUGGAGGGUGGACUUAGAGUUGUGGAAAAUAAAGAUCAAAGAAACAGAGGAAGCUAAAACAGUAGCACCAUGUCUUGCUCUGAGGCUCGAACUGUACAUGUAUCAUGUCUAUCCCGUGAACCGGUUAAACAUGGAGACCAACCGAGAGUAACCAGAACUCUCUUUCCCUACAGGCUAUAGCCACUGUACUGGUUAUGUAAAAUUUUGGUGCCUAAGUUGAAACAUGUCAUCAAAUCAAAACGUUUUCAUUGCAUCAAGUUGUCUGGUUGAUAAAAAGAGAGAGAGAAAAAAAAAAAGCGUUCUUAAGUUG